rnacentral:rRNA from 1 species
AGAACGAACGCUGGCGGCAUGCCUAAUACAUGCAAGUCGAACGAAGGCUUCGGCCUUAGUGGCGCACGGGUGCGUAACGCGUGGGAAUCUGCCCCUUGGUUCGGAAUAACAGUUGGAAACGACUGCUAAUACCGGAUGAUGACGAAAGUCCAAAGAUUUAUCGCCAAGGGAUGAGCCCGCGUAGGAUUAGCUAGUUGGUGAGGUAAAGGCUCACCAAGGCGACGAUCCUUAGCUGGUCUGAGAGGAUGAUCAGCCACACUGGGACUGAGACACGGCCCAGACUCCUACGGGAGCAGCAGUAGGGAAUAUUGGACAAGUGGGCGAAAGCCUAGAUCCAGCAAUGCCGCGUGAGUGAGUAGAAGGUCCUUAGGUU